UACGUAGGGGCUAGCGUUGUCCGGAAUCAUUGGGCGUAAGGAGCGUGUAGGCGGUCCGGUAAGUCCGCUGUGAAAGUCGGGGGCUCAACCCUCGAAUGCCGGUGGAUACUGUCGGGCUAGAGUACGGAAGAGGCGAGUGGAAUUCCUGGUGUAGCGGUGAAAUGCGCAGGAUAUCAGGAGGAACACCUAUUGCGAAGGCAGCUCGCUGGGACGUAACUGACGCUGAGACGCGAAAGCGUGGGGAGCAAACAGG
rnacentral:rRNA from 1 species